rnacentral:lncRNA from 1 species
UAUAGAAUUCGUUUGAGCUAGAGAAAAAUUUAAAGAUAUACCUCAAGUGAUAUCUAAUUCGUCUGCUGCGGUCGAAUUAGCUGAAUCGUGUACUGAAUUGCAGCAGACAGUGGAAUCAAACCCCUUAGCCUCAACGAAGCACCAAGAUCUAGCUAGUUCUAUUGAGAUACAAGAGACAUCUGCUAUAAAUGCUUUGGGUAAUUUGCAAGGCAGAUACAGUUCAAGUGAAAAUGAAGAUAUUGAAAGUGAACAAGAAGAUCCAUUUGCUGGAACUCAUUUAAGUUCAGAUCCUGAUUACGAUCCUACGUCCCCCUCUAGCUCCUCAGAUGAUGAUUCAGUGUCCUCUAUUACCAACGCCCAUGAUGGCAAUGACUCUUUGUAUGAGGGAAAUAGCGAGGAUGAUCAUAUAAGCGAGGCUAAUGAAUUUCUAGAAAAUUUUCAAACAGACGUAUGGAUACCAAUGGACAUGAAUAAUGCACUAAAUAUGAAGGAGUACUCUUUUCCACAAAGUAUUAAUGUAGCUUCUCAAGACUGCAGUAGUCCCUUAGCUACAUUUAAACUAUUUAUAGAUAAGGAUGUGAUCGGUUUAAUAGUAGCUGAAACAAACAGGUAUGCUUUACAACAGAUAAGUCCAACAAGCCGUAAUAAGUCUCGUCUCAAACUUUGGAUAGAUACAGAUGAGGAAGAGAUACAAAUUCUUUGAAAUUUUAAUCUGCAUGGGGUUAGUUAGAAUUCCAACCAUUACCCUUUAUUGGGCUAAACAUCCUCUGUAUCAUAAUAAAUAUAUAUCAUAAAAAAUAACCAGAGAUAGAUUCUUGCUACUCUUACAAUAUAUUCAUUUUAAUAAUAAUGACAAUUUGCCUAACUCGCAAGAUCGCCUUUUUCGCAUACGCCCUCUUCUGACUUUACUUAAUAUAAGAUUCCAACGUAUUUUAACCCCAGGAAAGGAAGUUACAUACAAUUAAUGUCAAGGUCUAUUGUGGCAAAGAGGAAAAUCAAGAAGAUUCAAGCGAUCCACAUACAGUUAUGAACCUUAUGGAUCAUUUGCUUGAUUCGGGCCGCAUCUUAUAUGGCGAUAACUUUUAUUCAGGUGUUCCCCUUGUAAAAAAACUUCACGCAAAAAAGACGUUUUAUUGUGGUACACUUAGGGCCAAUUGAAGGGGCCUACUGAAAGAAUUUAUUAAGCAUGGUAUAAAAAAAAAAAUAAAGUGAUAGGAGUACAUAAUGAUAAGGGAAUAAAAAUUAUAAAGUGGCAAGACAAAAGGCCAAUAUUAAUGAUCUCAAAUAAAAAAGACCAUAGCAUAAGCCUUCAAGACACCGGUAAGAAAAAUAGAAAAUCCAGAAAUAGAAAUAGAAAUAGAAAAUCCAGAACCACUUCUAAAGCCCAAGUGUAUUAUAGAUUAUAACAGCGCUAAAAAAGGCGUUGAUCUUAGCGACCAAAUGUCAUCAUAUUAUACCUCUUUACGUAAAGGGUUAAAGUGGUACAGAAAAACGGCUUUCGAGUUGAUUCUAUAGGAACUACUAUUGUAAAUUCCCAAGUGUUUAUUAAUAAAAUUAAUAAAGACAGCCAUCUAAAUAUGUUACAAUUUAGAGAAGCUUUAGGACAGGCGCUAGCAGAACAAGGUUCUGAACUUUUGCUGUUGAGCAGGGCCCUGGAAAAAAAAGACGACGAAAUUGUGUAGGCUGCUAUAAGAACUUGCGAGCUACAUUAUCUAGUAAAGAAGCAGAUAAAAAGGUUACCAAAGUAUCAAGUUAUUGCGCUGAUUGUGAAAAUAAACCCACAAUGUGUUUAUCUUCAAUGAAAAGCAUAGCAAUGUUUCCAAAUUAAAUUUUUUUGUGCUUAUAACCUUGUUUUUAAUAAUAUA